rnacentral:rRNA from 1 species
AACGAACGCUGGCGGCAGGCCUAACACAUGCAAGUCGAGCGAACCGCAAGGUUAGCGGCGGACGGGUUAGUAACGCGUGGGAACGUGCCCAAAGGUACGGAAUAGCCUCGGGAAACUGAGAGUAAUACCGUAUGUGCCCGAAAGGGGAAAGAUUUAUCGCCUUUGGAUCGGCCCGCGUUGGAUUAGGUAGUUGGUGGGGUGACGGCCUACCAAGCCGACGAUCCAUAGCUGGUUUGGGAGGAUGAUCAGCAACACUGGGACUGUGACACGGCCCAGACUCCUACGGGAGGCAGCAGUGGGGAAUCUUAGACAAUGGGGGAAACCCUGAUCUAGCCAUGCCGCGUGAGCGAUGAAGGCCUUAGGGUUGUAAAGCUCUUUCACCGGGGAAGAUAAUGACGGUACCCGGAGAAGAAGCCCCGGCUAACUCCGUGCCAGCCGCCGCCGUAAAAC